rnacentral:lncRNA from 1 species
CUAAAGUAUUAUUAAUCCAUGUGAAGUUAUAGGACUUUCUCUAAGAAGUAUGCACGGUUAAUUCUCUAACUUAACGGACCGAUCCAAGGAUGUACUCGACAGCCCCCCCCCCCAUCCGGCUCAGAAGAAGACUUGAUAUGGUACCAUUAUACAACGUAGAGAUCUUUGUAUGGGCCUCACAAUACUAUCCAAAUUAUAGUGAAUAGUAAGACGCUUCUAUUACUUCACAAAAAUUCCUUAAAUAUUUAAUCCUUGCCCCCACACCUCUGGGAAUUAAAUUCUCCUCCCCCUCCCUCCCCCCGCCCACAGCUAUUGUGCCGCACAUAACAUGAUUUCAAAUAACUUCGAGCUGCUGCCAUCUAA